UUGACCAGCCCCGCCGCUUAUAUCCCCUCAGUCCUGCGGCUCACAUUCACCUCUCUCUCAACGCCGGUCGCCGCCUAGAUGUGUCACCUGACUUGCCACCGUCCUCCACUCUCGUCUCAGAUUUGACCCCAAAGUCAAGCGGCAGGCAGCAGCAGCAGGUUCCCGUGUCGCCAUGAGCUGGAUGGGGAAGCGGGGGUUGGGUGGGGAGAGCCCGCACUGGCGGAGAAGACGGACGAGGACCGGCGGCCCCAGAGCUACCUCGCCGCCGCGUCCAGUUCGACCCUGCCUCCUGCAAGCACGGCGACUUCUUCGACACCGUCUGGGCGGGCCACGACCUAACCACGCCCAAUCUCUUCAGAAAACAUGUGGCAGCACGAAAAGGGAAUGAACGGUAACGUGGCUCGGUCCACGUUAAUGUCGGAGUUUGACGGUUGACAUAAGACUGGCAUGCUUCAACAAUACCAUCUUACCACCUUUCAUGUCACCACAUGCUCAGGUUAUCUCCCAUCAAAAGAUCGCAUCAAGUUUCGAAGCAUACUGGUAUUUGCCUUGCAUGCAAUAUAACACUCAUUAAUGCUCAUGUAAACAUGCCAUGCACUACUGUUCAAGCAAACAUGCAAAACACUUGUCAUAUCAAAGGUUCAAACAUGCUUGCCUGGUUCAGAGUAGUCGGAGUCUAGCUCGGCGAAGUUCGCGGUUCCGUCACCUCCUCCGGUAUCUACGGUAUAAAGAAACCGCAUACUAACGUAAAUACCGUGUGUGUGUAAAAAUUAUUCCAUUUUUUUCAAAUAAAUACUAUAAAAAACUAGACAAAAAUAUAAAUCUGACAGAAAAAGAAUCAACCAAAAAGUAUCUUUUGUUUAAAAGAUAUAAGAGUUUUAGUCCAAGGACUAUUCUGUGAUGAAACAGAAAAGACCCAGGGGCUAGUUUGAAAAAACAGAAAACGUUUCGGUUAGGAAUAUGCCAGCCCAGAAGGCAAACGCACUUUGCCCGACGGCGCUUUUAGAAAACAGUUCGAAUAAGAGAGAGAGAGGCUGACGGGGGGGGGGGGGGGUCCCACCCGUCAGGUUCAAACUUCGAACAGAGCUCGCCGGUGCCGAGGCUCGCGGUGGUCGCUGGCGUUGAUCCACGGCGAGGUAGGGGGAUCGGAGGGUACCUACAGGUUCACUGUGUCUUUCCGCGUCGGUGGGUGCUGGACUUGGCCGUCGGCGAGCACCACGUCGACGGUGGCCUUAACUCCGGCGGACGGCGGUUCGGGCGAGGAUGAUACUCUCCGACGGGAGCUGCAACCUUCAAAUUAGGGCGCGAGUUAGAGAAGUGGAUGCACUAGAAGGCUACUGGCAUGGUUUGAGAGGCGGGGGUGCACGCACUUUAGCCAAUCUUGCCGGAUCCCGAAGCGGGUCGGGGCGGCCGGAGUCGGGGAAGAAGACCUCCCCGAGGUCUCCCCAGUGGCUGAGCGUGGUUCUGGUGAUGUGGAGUGAUGGUGCUUGGUCGAAGGCGAGCUCGGGGUCGCUAUUUAUAGCCGGCCCGAGGCAGUUGCCGUGAACGGAUAACUCUGGCGGGCGAUUACGGCGAGGCAGUGGUCGGGAUGGAGGUUUAGGUGAUUGGGCAUCAACGUGAUGGUCCACUGGUUCCGUUCAAGGGCUAAACUUGGUAUGGUAUGGGUGAUACUCCAAGCUCUCGACGGAACGGCCUCACGGGCACGCCGGCGGCAGAGAGCGUGCUCUGUGCUGUCCAGGCCACGACGAUGGCUCUGCAGCACGCACAGGGACGGGGACGGCCACGCGGAGGCUUCUGGUGGCUUGGGCGAAGCUGGACAGCGCCGUCCCUCGCUGCGCCUCUUUGGCAGCCGCGGCAAGUGCUGCUGCCACCGCUCACGGGGCGAUGCACCUCUGCCAGCUCGCCGCCGACGCCCGCAACCGUCCAGGCGACCGUGCGGCGCGGUGGAUAAGAAGGAGGAACAAGGAGCAAGGCGCCACUGCAGUUACUGGCGAGAUCGACGAGAGGUUCUGAAGAAAACGACACUGACGACUGAAACUGUUCUCUGAAACUCUGAACUUGACAGUAACAGUGCACGCCAGCUGUUCGACGAAAGGUUUUGGGCAUGAGGAAAUUUUUUCUGGAGCUGGGACUUGGUGAGGUGACCUCUUGAUGCAUCUAGAGGCUGCCUGAUUUUUCUCAGAUUUUUAGGAGAAGAAUACAAAUGAAUUUCACCAAAAUUGGCAAAUAUGGUCCAAACUUGCAGCAAGCAUAUUUUGAAAAUUUUGAACUGUGGACUAGUGGAUCUUCAUGGAUCUUGGUUGAGGGUUCUAAGGACUAGCCAGGGAAACUUGUUUGGAAUCAAAACCCAAAGGAAAUCUAGUGGUUCCUUUGCAAAUCUCUAAGGGCCAAAAUAGAAGACAAAAGAUUUUUGAUUCAAAAUAAAUGGAAAUAAAUCCAAGGGGAAGUUUAACUUGCUGGAUUUGAAGCUUGACUUGACACAAAGUGGGAAGAUGGCUUUUGGGAGGGAGAUUUCAACUUAGGUCAUGGCAAGAGAUAAUUUUUGAAAGGGGAAGGAUCACUCCAUAAGCCAUAGGGUUAUUUUUAAAAGAAAAGAUUUCAAAAACUUUCCCAAAGAAAAACAUUUGUGUUGAGUCAACACAAGAUGAAAAACCCUCAAGACCAAAGAUCAAGUUUUGGAUGAACCCAAAGAAAAUACUUGUCAUAAAAGAAAAUUUUGAGAAGGAGAGUCCUUUAGAAAAAAAUUUAGACCACCUCCUUCAAAUCAAAUAAAGAAUUUGAUAAAACCAAAUAAUUUUUUUGGGGUGUUACAUGUUGGCCAGUAUUUGUUGUGCCUUAUAAUCUUCCACCGGAAAUGUGCAUGAAGCAGAGUAACCUGAUCCUUGCACUAGUUAUUCCCGGUCCAGAUCAUCCAGGAAAGAACCUAAACGUUUUUAUGCAGCCUCUAGUUGACGAACUUGAUGAUUUGUGGAGAAAUGGUGUAGAAACUUAUGAUAGUUAUCGAAAGCAAAAUUUCACCUUAAAGGCAGCUUUGCUUUCGACUAUUCAUGACUUUCCAGCUUAUGGAUUGUAGCAUGCUGGAGCACUCAUGGAAAGCUUGCUUGCCCUAUAUGUGGAUCUGACAUAAAGACAUUCUCAUUGAAGAAUGGGAGAAAGCCAUGCUGGUUUGACUGCCAUAGGAGAUUCCUUCCCACUGACCAUGCAUUUCGUAGGAGUGUGAAAUGUUUUCGCAAGAAAAAAACAGUUUUAGAUCCUCCACCAAAGCACUUGUCCGGAGAAGAGGUGUAUGAAGAACUCCAAAGUCUUGUCCAUGAUGAAACUGGCAAGAGUAAAUUUGAGGGGUUUGGGAAGGAGCACAAUUGAUAGCUAUAAGUGGUUUGUGGCAGCUAGAGUAUUUUCGGAAGUUGCUGCUUCGCCAUAACAUUGAUGUAAUGCACAAUGAGAAAAAUGUAUCUGAGGCUUUACUAAACACAUGCCUUGAUAUUCCUGAGAAAACUAAGGAUAACAACAAAGCACGCCAGGAUGUUGAUUUAUAUUGUGAUCGACCAAAGCUACACCUGAACAAGAAUUCAAGGGGUGUGUGGAAGAAACCUAGAGCAAAAUAUUGUGUCAGCAAGGAAGAUAGAAUGACCAUCCUUAAGUGGUUUAAAGAAGUGAAGUUUUCUGAUGGGUUUGCUGCUAAUUUGAGUAAAACUGUCAACUUGAGUAAAAACAAAUUCAUUGGGCUGAAAAGCCAUGACCAGCACAUCAUCAUGGAGCGCCUCCUGCCAGUUGCCCUACGAGGCUUCAUCCCAGAACCUGAAUGGAAGGUCAUAGCAGAGUUAAGUUUUUUUUAUCGGCAAUUGUGUGCCAAAGAAAUUGCUCCAAAACGGAUGCGUGGACUUGAGGAGGAGGUUCCUGUUCUAUUAUGCAAGCUUGAGAAAAUGUUCCCACCAGGCUUCUUCAAUGUAAUGCAACACCUGAUAGUGCAUCUUCCAUAUGAGGCAAGGGUUGGCGGCCCUGUGGCAUAUCGUUGGAUGUAUGUUUUUGAGAGGGCAAUGCACUAUCUUCGUUUAAAAGUGUGAAACAAGGCAAGAGUGGAGGGUUCAAUCGUUGAAGCUUGUAUUGUGCAGGAGAUCACGAAUUGUGUUUCUCUUUACUUUAGUGAUCAUGUUCGCACUAUAUGGAAGAAGAAUCCUCGAUAUAAUAAUGGAGGAACACGCGUGCAGAAUGAUGGUUGCACCUUAGAUGUGUUUGAGCAUGUAGGAAACCUACAUGGGAGGCCUAUUGCCCGAGAACUAUCGCGUGAAGAGUUGAAUGCAGCAAGGUUGUACAUUUUGACUAACUGCUCUGCUGUUGAUAGAUUUCGUGAAACAUUUGAAGAUGAAAAAUAUGCAAGUCAUCCAAACUUGACAUCGGAGGGCCUUGAUGAAAUGAUGGCAUCCGAAUUUGUGGAAUGGUUCGAGAUUGCUUGCAAAGAAGAUCCCAAUUCUGAUGAGGACUUGUGGAAUUUAGCUAAUGGAUGCAGCUCUAGAGCCUAUUCCUAUAGCUCCUAUGAUGUGAAUGGCUUUCGCUUUAGAUCAGAGAUAUCUGAGAAAAAACGUAGAAGGUUGAAAACGGUGAACACAGGGGUUUGUUUG